AUGGAAACUCUGCUUCAUAUGCCAAAGAAACCUAAAAUUCCAAUGAAUCUGCUUGAAUGGAUAGAUCAACAUAUGUUUGGAAGUAAAGAGCCCUGUUUCAAGCAUAAGAAUAAAAUUAUCAAGAUUACUAAAGAUAUGGUUGACAAAAUUUUCGAUUUCCUUGGUGGCACCGUGCCUUUUGUAUUCAGUAGCGGCGAUCCCCAAGUGAAGGCAGAGGUUACAGAGUUAAGGAACAAGUAUGUUGAUCAUCGGAACAAAAUGCCAAUCAACAAAAUAGAGGAGGUGAUGCUUGGUGAUGAGACAGAAGAUGGAUUUAUCAGGAGCUUCGCAUUUUAUUUCCUACCAUCUAUUUUGUGCCCUGCAUCAUACUGCUUUGGUAACAUGAAGUUCUUGUACUCUCUAAGAGAUGUUUCUGCUAUCCCUUCACUUGACUUUGGGCAACUGGCACUGGAUUUCAUGCGUGAGGAGUCAGAGCGUCAUUUUGAAAUGAUCAUGAACAGACCAAGUGUUGAGGAAAUGAACAAGUCUUCAUAUAUUGGGGGAUGUCUUCCUAUUUGA
rnacentral:rRNA from 1 species